rnacentral:rRNA from 1 species
AUUGAACGCUGGCGGCAUGCCUUACACAUGCAAGUCGAACGGUAGCAUGGAGAGCUUGCUCUCUGAUGGCGAGUGGCGAACGGGUGAGUAAAGCAUCGGAACGUACCGUGUAGUGGGGGAUAACGUAGCGAAAGUUACGCUAAUACCGCAUACGCACUGAGGUGGAAAGCAGGGGAUCGUAAGACCUUGCGCUAUACGAGCGGCCGAUGUCAGAUUAGCUAGUUGGAGAGGUAAAGGCGCACUAAGGCGACGAUCUGUAGCGGGUCUGAGAGGAUGAUCCGCCACGCUGGGACUGGGACACGGCCCAGUCUCCUCCGGGGGGCAGCAGUGGGGAAUUUUGGACAAUGGGGGCAACCCUGAUCCAGCCAUGCCGCGUGAGUUAAGAAGGCCUUCGGGUUGUAAAGCUCUUUCGGCCGGGAAGAAAUCGCACAGGCUAAUACUCUGUGUGGAUGACGGUACCGGCAUAAGAAGCACCGGCUAACUACGUGCCAGCAGCCGCAGUAA